AGAACUGUGCCCGAAUGCCCAGGGGUCACUUUGAUAGAGUGAACACAGGGGUUAAAUUCCCCUCAGCUCUU
rnacentral:tRNA from 1 species